GGAGAGCAGGUUCGGCGGAAUAAUUUUAAGAAGAACUUUAUCCCUGCUCCGCCAUAGUCUCCCGGGACAAGUGAGCGGAACUCGUGGGAGACUUCGUGUAUUUUCUGACCCUCACUCGACCUUUUAACUGUUUUAAAAGAAUGUUAGUCGCUGUCAGUGUUAUCCCGAAAUACAAAUAGCAGCAAAGCUGGCCCUCUGCCUGCCGCAGCUGUCCGCGGGGGACGUUAACACGGCUGUAUGAAAGCGAAGCUCUGGGGCCUGCCCAUUCACUCGGCUCUUUCCUCCCUUGGGAUGGAGGUCAGUUUGGUUCCCAGGCAGACAUGAGUGUGAGGAAGACAGAGGCACAGUGAGGAAGAAGCCUCUCAGCUCUUUGUGUUUGAGGAGGGGUCUCCGGCCUUGCGGGGCUGACCUCAGGGUUACUAUGGAGACUGCAGGAGCCACUUCCUGAAUUCUCGGCCCAUCCCGCAAUACAUUAGAAAGCAGGGGAUCCAAAGUCGAAGUCAGGACUGGACUGGGAACGAGGAAGGAAAACCUAAUUCUGUUUUAAUGGGAUUAUUCUAAGAAAUGGAAAGUAAUGGUGCAGAACUAAUAUGGACCUGAGCUGAAACAAGCUGAAUACACUGCAUGCUAACAUUUGAAGACAAGUCUUAGCUAUAAAGUCUGCAUGAUCCCGCAGAGUCUCUGUAAAAGUGAAAAUUAAGAUGUUCAAAUUAAAUCAAAUUAGAUAAUUAGGUAAUCCCAAAAACUUGGCGUCAGACUGCUUUCAGUACAAAAAACAGUUAUUAGUCUAUAAGCUGGCCUAUCAGAAGAAAGCAGGCUAAGAGGGAAGUUGCUAAAAUUAUUGGGGAUAAACUGAAGUUGCAUAUUAAGGGUCAAUUUAAGAUUUUUCUUUCCAGCUGUUUCAUGCUAAGCUAUUUUAGCUGAGUCCAAGAAUACCUGUAUGAACAUAGCUACCAUUACAUCAUCCAGGGAUUUCUAAAGUCCUGUUUUAAAGCCUUGAAUUGACCUUUUCUGCCAUCGCUGUCUUGGUCGUAGACAACCAGAUGUGACAAGGAAGGGUGUGCCCGACUGGGAAACCACACGCUUAUUGGCUAAUGACUUGUGGUUGCACACUUUUUAGCCAAUGAACAUGCGGUUUUAAUACUAUACAUGGUCCUUCAUUUUGUAACAUGGUGUAGCCAAGGUUUUUUAGCACUAGCUACAUAAUCGCUUAGUGCUUUUCCAGAUUCUUCAUUCUGUAUUUAGUGGUGACUUGAACAAAAUUCCAUUGUGGAUAAAAAUUUUGGUGACUGUUAAGUUACGUAUGGGAACCUUACGUUGAAUGUGACGCAUGAUAGAAAUGCAAACGGCGAGAGUAACAAUACAUUCACAAAGGGACCUAAUAUAUAUAUAUGUAUAAAAAUCAAAAGAAAUUGGGAUUUAUACUAAAUCUUUUUUAAAAAGCAUUUAGAUGUUAAUUAUUGCUGCAAGUCUGAUGACGUUUGUACAAAGUUUCAUUCAGAUUGUCCCACCUAUUACAGAGAAGAUGGGUUCAUACAGAUACACAUGUAACUAUGGUCAUCAUAGUAAAGAAGAAGAUUAGUAGAAUAUGUCUGGUUUUUAUUAGGUUACAAUUUAUAGGGGAGAAAGUUAGCCAUAAACAGCACUAGAUAAAGAAAACAAUACUUUCUGCUGGCAUUUUGGAGUCACUAAGGAGGGCUGGUUAAAGAAAUGGUUUAUUAUUAGCUAGCAAAGCUGAGCUCAGCUUAAUUUCAGCUCAGUAAUUAAUGCACAGACCUGAGAAGUACAAGUAAAUAAUCUUCUCUCACUUUUGGGAAUAAACGAAUAAGUAUUUCCAAAACUGAUGGAUCAUUUAAACCUGUACCAGUAAGUAUUUAUAUCCACAACUGCUAGCAUGUUGGUGUUGAUGUAUUUUAGCAAUGUAGACCAAAAAGUGUGUGAAACACCAGGGCAUAUUAUUACCAACUUUUCCAACUUAAGUUUCCUGAGAGUCUCUUUUGCUUUGCAGCCAAGGGUGUUGAGGAACAUUAACUCCUCAUUUUUGUCCUCUAGGAGUCAGCGAUGUUAAUAAUCAGAGGUUCUGGUUUCACGGGCCACCAGCUCUGUUAGUAUUCACAACCCUGAUCGGAAUAUCCACCGGUCCGUUAAACUGCUGACAGAGACUCAUACACGAGGCCAGCUCAUCAGAGAGAGAGGGAGAACUAAAGAGACAGAUCUGAAUGGCAGAGGAAGGGAGGGCCUUAAAAAAGGGCCGGAUUUGUGCUAUCAGAUAAAGAAUGGAAACUUGUAGAAAAACUCCAGCUACACUAAGUGCUGCUGUGAAGGUCGUGGCCAGGGGCAAGCCUGUUAAUGAAGGUGGAUUGUAGUCUGAUUCUGAGAGCACUUGUUUUACUUGGAUUAUAAUAUUGCAGAAAGGUAUAUAUUAAUGUCAGUGUGAGUAGGCUCAAUGUUGAGGGAAAAGUCAUUUGGAAGACGGUGUAUUUGUGUGACGUGUUUUCAGAAACCUUUUCAGAAACUGUGAAAAGCUUGAUGCUUGAGCCAUGGAACGAAGCCUGUAAAUGUAAAAUCCACUUAGCUGAGCAGUAACUAGCCAAGUGUAGGUGUCAACUUGAUAAUCCAGGAGUCCAGGUACUCGGUCACCAAUUACACUUUUAUUAGGAGUCAGGAGUGUUCUUGGCUUGAGGUGUGCAGGCUGGCCAAGGGAUAUGGUGGCGUGUACUGUAGAAUCUGGACUCUAAAGGACAGUGUUAUUGCACUUAUUGGUCACACCGUAUAGCUUCUUAAGUACAUUAGUAACUUGACUCAGAAGUGCAAUGAUACUGUAAGCAACCAGCAGUUACUAGUAUCUGUAUUUUGACCUGAAAACUCAUCCAUCAAUGCAAUUCACAGGCCUGCAACAUGUUUUCGGCCUGUAUCGGGCACAAUGUUUCCCCACACUUUAGGUAGGAAUGUGCACCAUGUGAAGCUUGAUAGAAACCAAAAUAUUGUAAGUAAUUCCCCUAAAGCUUGAUAUUAACUUUAAGAAUAGGCAAUAAGGCAAUGAGAAAUCUGGUUCUCAGGCUUUCAGAGCCCAGAAAAGCUCCUCAGUUUACAUGAUUGUUAGUUAUUUAUUCUAAUGACCAGUGUAACUAUAAGUUAUCACACAGCAGUUCUAAUGUGGUCAUCUUAGUCAUCUGGUCACUUAUCUGGGCAGAAUUAACUUUACGUUCAGUGGUCACCAAGACAAAAAACUACAGUAUUCAUCCACCCAUCCAUUUUCUGCUACUUAUCUGGGUUUGGGUCACGGGGCCAGCAGUCCAAGCAGAAAGCCCAGACUUCACUGAUACCAGCUGUUGCAUUGUUGCAACAUAUUAGAAAAUCUGCUGCUUAAUAUCCAUGGGGACAUCCAUCUAGGUUUAGGGUUUGGUUAACAUCCACCGCUUUUUAAAGUUUUCACCUCUUCGUAACAUCCAAAAUAAAUGAAACUUCAUUGAAAUACUUUCAAAAAAUCUGUGUACUUUUAUUUAUUUUUUUUUAAGAAAACUGAACUCAGCAUGCUGUGUAAGUUAUAUUUCUAUCAUUGUCUUUGCUCUAGAGUUCUUCUGUAGAUUUCACAUCAGGAUUUAUUCAGAAACCCAGAAGAUAUGGAUCUGUCUUACAAUGUUCCAGCUGGCACCAGAUGCGCUACAUUUACUGAUUUAUACAUAAUUUCCGAAUUCAGCGUGGGAGUUUUAGCUCUAAAAAGCACAUUUUAUUUUACUCCUGCAUGUCAGAUGACUACCUAUAGAAAUAGAUCAUUUAUGGCAUGACUAAAAAACAUUUGGUGUUGUUUGUCCAGAGUUUCGUAGCAGAUUUCAGAUUUACAGAUCUGACUGGUUUGACAAAAGAGCUACAAGAAAUGGAUCACUAGCAAGAGCAAAAUAAAACCCAAACCCCCUAGUUUCAAUCAAUACAAUAAGCGAAGUUUCAUCUCCUCAAAAAAGUCCGCAACAAAUCUUCUGGUGUAUGUUCUCUGGCGACUGAACAAAUGAGAAGCUGCUGGACUUCAAACGCUCACUUUGGCACAAUACACUGCUAAGGUCAUCUGAAGUGCGUGUCCUUGAUCUACUGUACCUUUAAUGGUGUUUGACCUGGCUCACUGUGGCUUUCUCAUUGUGCUGGUAUAUUUGUGAUGUCAGAGAAGUGCCUCUUGAGUGCAUGAAAGAAUGUGCAGACACAGAGUUUGCUAUGCUUUAAAGGUUUCCUCUGUAGCAUUUUUAAACAUCCAUGUAUCACCUCUAAACUGCCCGUCACCUUGGAAUAUUUACUGUACACAGAUCAGGCCAUGAUAGAUGGCCUCUGCCUUAGAACACUGAUGUUUUUAGUGCUGGAAGUCUUGCAAAUUCUAGAAUCUAUUUUUCUUCAUUCUGCUCAUCCCUGUUAUGUACUUUUAGUCAUAAGUAUUUUGCUGUAUAUAAUUCAUUUAUACUUCCUUUGCUAACAUGGCUGAGGACAGAUUCAUGACCUCCUGUUAUCUGUCUUCAUAUGGAGUAGUCUGGUAGCCCUUGCUCCACCUUCAUCCUUAUCUUACUGUUUCGACUGCCAAAUAUCAUCAAACCCUUUAAAAUAAAAUGAUAAAAUAAUUUACUGCCAUACUGUCUCAUUCAAAUUGCACACUUCUCUAUACCCAAACCCUCGGUGUAAAUUCUAGUUCUGAAACCGCUAAACUAUUCAAAAAUGUGGCAGUGUCCAUUUUGUUCCCAGCUUUUCCAAACAAUAAAACCGCAAAAGAGCUUAGUUUUUUUAAAGGCCUUUUCUUUUUAUUUAACCAAAUGCCGGCUUCAUUUUGGCAGCGAGCAGUGUCAGGAGUUUAUCUUCUGGAUUUUACGAAAGCCAAACUGAAAAGCAGCCCGUAGUCAUGCACUGCUUUAGACGAUAAGACAGGAGGCGUCACACAGCCUGGUUUUAGAAUUGGAUUUUUCUCUUUGUGCUGUUCUCUACCGAACGCCUAAAUGUCAAACUAGUGCUACCUAAAGUUGACACAAAAAUUGGAACCAUAUUCCAGUCUUGAUGGAUUCUCAAUUAUCCAGGUAAGGAAAUCCCAAAAAGCUGGACAUAGUGUUUUCAGUGGGAAACGCCACGUCCAGAACCAACUUUUUGGGCAUAUUUCUAAAUGUUAGCUCUAAGUAUUUUUCUUGUAUCAUGUCUACAAAACUUCACUUUCAAAUGAAUUUCCUAUUCCCCAUUUUCUCAACAACUUUAGACCACUGAUAGAAGGUUUUUGGUGGGAAAUGAUAUUCAUUCUGCUAUUCUUGGAUAUAGGUAAAGGGCACUCACACUGCACUACUACACAAUUACACAAAGACAUUCUUGCAAAUACAUUUUUCAAACAUCAUUCACAAUAGAACAAUAGGAGUUGUUUUCCUCCCAUUUCAAAACCUGCUCUUGGUUUUUAGAUCAUCUACCAGCCUGUUAGGCAACAGUACAGAUUGUAUUCAAACCUACAGCAGACGCUAUGAGGAAAGAUCAGUAGUGCGUACACCUUUUAUUUCUCCUGCCUUCCUCCUCUGUGUUCUGUCUUCCGCUUGCCUUCCUCUGCCCUCUCUCUCUCUCUGUCUCUCUCCCUCUUUGCUCCGUUUUUAGCUGGUUGCCAAGUGCUAAGAAUCUGGGGAAUGCAGGAUUGCAAUGUUCUGAUAAAGUUUGCUUUGUUCCCCAAAGUGACCUGAGUGAUAGAGGGAGUACUACCCAUAAGUCUACAUACACACAUAUACAGUCCACAUACAUGCAUACUUUCACAUGAGCAGUUUGUUUUUCUCCAAAAAGCCACUGGAGUGUGGAAAGCAAUAGUAACCGAAACUUACUGUAAAGCACACACACACACACACACACACACACACACACACACACACACACACACACACA